rnacentral:rRNA from 1 species
GACGAACGCUGGCGGCGUGCUUAACACAUGCAAGUCGAACGGAAAGGCCCUGCUUUUGUGGGGUGCUCGAGUGGCGAACGGGUGAGUAACACGUGAGUAACCUGCCCUUGACUUUGGGGUAACUUCAGGAAACUGGGGCUAAUACCGGAUAGGAGCUCCUGCUGCAUGGUGGGGGUUGGAAAGUUUCGGCGGUUGGGGAUGGACUCGCGGCUUAUCAGCUUGUUGGUGGGGUAGUGGCUUACCAGGGCUUUGACGGGUAGCCGGCCUGAGAGGGUGACCGGCCACAUUGGGACUGAGAUACGGCCCAGACUCCUACGGGAGGCAGCAGUGGGGAAUAUUGCACAAUGGGCGGAAGCCUGAUGCAGCAACGCCGCGUGCGGGAUGACGGCCUUCGGGUUGUAAACCGCUUUCGCCUGUGACGAAGCGUGAGUGACGGUAAUGGGUAAAGAAGCACCGGCUAACUACGUG